rnacentral:rRNA from 1 species
CGAAUGCUGACAUAAGUAACGAUAAAGCGGGUGAAAAGCCCGCUCGCCGGAAGACCAAGGGUUCCUGUCCAACGUUAAUCGGGGCAGGGUGAGUCGACCCCUAAGGCGAGGCCGAAAGGCGUAGUCGAUGGGAAACAGGUUAAUAUUCCUGUACUUGGUGUUACUGCGAAGGGGGGACGGAGAAGGCUAUGUUGGCCGGGCGACGGUUGUCCCGGUUUAAGCGUGUAGGCUGGUUUUCCAGGCAAAUCCGGAAAAUCAAGGCUGAGGCGUGAUGACGAGGCACUACGGUGCUGAAGCAACAAAUGCCCUGCUUCCAGGAAAAGCCUCUAAGCAUCAGGUAACAUCAAAUCGUACCCCAAACCGACACAGGUGGUCAGGUAGAGAAUACCAAGGCGCUUGAGAGAACUCGGGUGAAGGAACUAGGCAAAAUGGUGCCGUAACUUCGGGAGAAGGCACGCUGAUAUGUAGGUGAAGUCCCUCGCGGAUGGAGCUGAAAUCAGUCGAAGAUACCAGCUGGCUGCAACUGUUUAUUAAAAACACAGCACUGUGCAAACACGAAAGUGGACGUAUACGGUGUGACGCCUGCCCGGUGCCGGAAGGUUAAUUGAUGGGGUUAGCGCAAGCGAAGCUCUUGAUCGAAGCCCCGGUAAACG